GAGAAGGCUUAGAGUUGUGAGAUGUCUAAAAUGGUAAUACUUGCAAUUGGGAUUUCACCUUGCAACUGCAAUGGAUUGUUUUUAAUGUGAUUUGAGUUUGUGGAAAGCUGAUCUAUGCCUUUUCACACCUCCUGAAGUAUGUGCAUUUUCCAUUUUCCUUUUCAUGACCCACGUUUUAUUAAUAUUUGUCCUUUCAUGCAUGUUUCUGCUUGAGUGUAAUCUAUCCUGCCCCGAACAUAAGGAAUUGCCUCAAAAGUGAUGCUUGUGUUCCCUAUUUUUACUAGUGUUUCUUUGUUUCUUUCUAGGAAAAUGUCAAGACAAAGCGUCCCCAAUUUUUGUAUGAAUCAAAGUUGUACAGGAUCCUACAGCGAGGAACUGGAAUUCCAAAUGUUAGAUGGUUUGGUGUUGAAGGCGACUAUAAUGUUCUAGUGAUGGACUUGUUGGGUCUGAGCUUGGAAGACCUUUUCAACUUCUGCAGUAGGAAACUGUCUUUGAAGUCUGUUCUUAUGCUCGCCGAUCAAAUGAUCAACCGAGUUGAGUUUGUUCAUGCCAAGUCUUUUCUACAUCGAGAUAUCAUGCAAGAUAAUUUUCUUAUGGGCCUAGGGAGACGAGCAAAUCAGGAUGAUUUGCAGGCUUUCUAGUCAAUAGCAUCUCUACCUACAAAGCCAAUGAGAGUUGCAUGUGUGAGGCUUUCUGGAAGGAGGGAUGAUUGUGAUGGAUUUGAGAAGCAUGCUUAAUAGUUUUUACUUGUUUGCUCUGGCGAGUGUAUCUACAUCUAAACCUGGUACUGUAGACAAGGCCCAUCUAAGGCUUGCUUCAGCAAAAGCUGUUUUGUGCCUGUCAAAGUACUGGGAUAAAAAAAAUACCGAUUGAUAUCUAUUAUUCGACUUUAAUAUUAUCACAGUAGCAGCUGAUUUUAUCUUGGCAUGCAGGAUGUCUACCCACAAGCUAGGAAGCUAUUCCUCAGCAAAGUACAAGCCAAUAU